rnacentral:rRNA from 1 species
CCUACGGGGCGCUGCAGUGAGGAAUAUUGGUCAAUGGUCGGGAGACUGAACCAGCCAAGCCGCGUGAGGGAGGAAGGUACAGAGUAUCGUACACCUCUUUUGUCAGGGAACAAAGGCGGGGACGUGUCCCCGGAUGAGUGUACCUGAAGAAAAAGCAUCGGCUAACUCCGUGCAAGCAGCCGCGGUAAUACGGAGGAUGCGAGCGUUAUCCGGAUUUAUUGGGUUUAAAGGGUGCGCAGGCGGUCUGUUAAGUCAGAGGUCAAAGCCCGGGGCUCCAGCCCGGCCCGCCGUUGAAACUGGCAGUCUCGAGUUGGAGAGAAGUAUGCGGAAUGCGCGGUGUAGCGGUGAAAUGCAUAGAUAUCGCGCAGAACUCCGAUUGCGAAGGCAGCAUGCCGGCUCCACACUGACGCUGAGGCACGAAAGCGUGGGUAUCGAACAGGAUUAGAUACCCGUGUAGUC